CAGGAAUCUGGCCGACCCUGCGUUUGGUCGCUGUGACUCCUGAUAUUUGACACGACAGUCAGAUUUACAUUCCCUCCUGUACAAAAGCGUGCAACUUGUUCUCUUCAUCCAGAAAGAUGGCUGGGGCAGGGUUGACCGCCAGACAGAAGGAAGCAGGGAACGAGAGGCAAAAAACUACAAGGUGGUGAAGUGGGAAACCAUAUCCAGAAGGUGACAGUGAGGUAGCAGAUGUGUAAAACACAAACGACCUUGAGGAGAAUGUGACUCGUUCUGGGCGGACUCCGAUCAAACCUCCCGGUUGCUCUCAGAAAGCACAUCAGAAGCUGAGCGUUGCCCCUCUCGAGGUUGUGGGAUCUUCAUCAUUCCUUGAGUGAGAGGCAGAACAAACCAUGGACAGGUUGCUACAACUCAGUAAGCAAAAACACACCUAACAACACGUUAUCUUUAAUUAACCAAAUAUGUAUGUUUCUGGAUAUUGGGAGAAGGUCAGAGUGCCCAGAGAGAAAUCAGGUAUGUACUGGAGCAACAUGCAAACUAUAAAGGCUACAGCAAAUUUUGU